rnacentral:rRNA from 1 species
AUUGAACGCUGGCGGCAUGCUUUACACAUGCAAGUCGAACGGUAACAGGCCGCAAGGUGCUGACGAGUGGCGAACGGGUGAGUAAUGCAUCGGAACGUGCCCAGUCGUGGGGGAUAACGCAGUGAAAGCUGUGCUAAUACCGCAUACGAUCUAUGGAUGAAAGCGGGGGACCGUAAGGCCUCGCGCGAUUGGAGCGGCCGAUGUCAGAUUAGGUAGUUGGUGGGGUAAAGGCUCACCAAGCCAACGAUCUGUAGCUGGUCUGAGAGGACGACCAGCCACACUGGGACUGAGACACGGCCCAGAUUCAUACGGGAGGCAGCAGUGGGGAAUUUUGGACAAUGGGCGCAAGCCUGAUCCAGCAAUGCCGCGUGCAGGAAGAAGGCCUUCGGGUUGUAAACUGCUUUUGUACGGAACGAAAAGGUUUGGGUUAAUACCCUGGGCCGAUGACGGUACCGUAAGAAUAAGCACCGGCUAACUACGUGCCAGCCGCCGCAGUAAAAC